rnacentral:misc_RNA from 1 species
GUACAAGGAAGAGGGCAGCAAAGUUACAUAAAGGACUUGUAAGAAGAAAUAAAUGUGUGCUCAUCUUAGAUGGUCUUUCAAGUUACUUUGAUCAAGAAGAGAUUGGAAUUCCUAUUCAAGUGGGUAGAUGCAAGCUANNNNCAGCACUCGAUCCUUAAGGUUGUGUCAAAGGAUGGGCUGCCAGCAACCUAUUGAAAUUGAGCCACUUCCUUUCAGAGAAGCAGAGAUCUUAUUUAAGAAAAAUAUUGGGCUUGCAAACUUCUUUACUCCAAGUGUUGAGCAGAUUGCAAAGCAAAUUGUAAAAGAAUGUGGAGGUUUGCCUGGUAAAAUUAUUGGUACAGCUGAGAGAAUGAGGGGAGUAAAUGAUAU